rnacentral:ncRNA from 1 species
UUGCGAGGCUCAAAUGGGCCGUUCAAUGAGUAAUUAUUGAAUAGAACUUGGCUAUAUCGGUGAAAUCCUAGUGAAGGACAACGCCGAGGGAAGUCUCCGUCUAUGACGGAUGACCCCGUAGAGACUAAACGCCGAGCUCCUAGUUUAAUAGGAUGAUGACAUAGUCCGACACUCUGAGCAAUCAGAGA